rnacentral:rRNA from 1 species
GAUCCUGGCUUAGGAUGAACGCUAGCGGCAGGCUUAACACAUGCAAGUCGAGGGGCAGCGGGAUGUAGCAAUACAUUGCCGGCGACCGGCGGAUGGGUGCGUAACGCGUAUGCAACCUACCUUAUACAGGGGAAUAACCUUUCGAAAGGGAGACUAACACCCCAUGGUAUUGAUUUAAGGCAUCUUAGAUUAAUUAAAUAUUUAUAGGUAUAAGAUGGGCAUGCGUAUGAUUAGCUAGUUGGUAAGGUAACGGCUUACCAAGGCGACGAUCAUUAGGGGUUCUGAGAGGAAGGUCCCCCACACUGGUACUGAGACACGGACCAGACUCCUACGGGAGGCAGCAGUGAGGAAUAUUGGUCAAUGGGCGCAAGCCUGAACCAGCCAUGCCGCGUGCAAGGAAGACGGCCUUAUGGGUUGUAAACUGCUUUUACAUAAGACUAACCGUAUAUUUGCGAAUAUACCUGAAUGUAUUAUGAGAAUAAGGAUCGGCUAACUCCGUGCCAGCCGCCGC